GCUCCCGUAGCUCAAUGGUAGAGUAGCUGCCUUGUAAGCAGCGGGUUAUAGGUUCAAGCCCUAUCGGGUGCUCCA
rnacentral:tRNA from 1 species